GUUAAAAGUCACGCAAACCUUAUCCUCCUCUGAGAGAAGCUUCCGGCCCAGAUCACCAAUUGUUAAUUUCUGGGAGAGGCUUUUAUCCUGUACUGGGCCAGACUGCAGAUAGAAAGUCAGUGGCAUCACAGUGGGCCUGGUACCGGUCUCUGUGCCAGAUGAUCAGCCCGAGAGGAGCAGCAUGCCAUCACAUCUGCCGGGUCCCGGCAGAAAAAUGGAGGCAAAGUUGCCUCCAUUUUUGCUUGCCAACAUUCUGUUAGCUAAAAUAACCCUGGUGAUUCAUAACCUAAUAGCACUUAAUAAUGUAUGAAAUAUUAAGAAAAAAACAUCAAAUGUUUGUCCUUCAAACGUAUUUUGUGUGGAUGUCCUCACAUCACUGACCAGCUGAAAUAUGUUUGGGGAAUUUCCAGACGGAAGAAGUUGAU
ensembl:lncRNA